rnacentral:rRNA from 1 species
GACAGAGGGUGCAAACGUUGUUCGGAAUUACUGGGCGUAAAGCGCAUGUAGGCGGCCUAGCAGGUCGGAUGUGAAAUCCCUCGGCUCAACCAAGGAAGUGCAUUCGAAACCGCAAGGCUGGAGUCCCGGAGAGGAUGGUGGAAUUCUCGGUGUAGAGGUGAAAUUCGUAGAUAUCGAGAGGAACACCGGCGGCGAAGGCGGGUCUCUGGGCCGAUACUGACGCUGAGGAGCGAAAGCGUGGGGAGCGAACAGG